UGUUAGCCCUGCGGCCCCACGCACCAGGGUAAGAGAGAGUCUCAUUUCCUGCCCUGGCCCGAGGGACCGACUGGCUGGGCCU
rnacentral:pre_miRNA from 1 species